ACAUGCCUACAACAUAGUGUUAAUGCAUUGGAUCCCAUUAGAAAUCUGCAAGUAAGUGCGCUCAUGAUAGAGUAGUACUGGGAUGGGUGACCACCCGAGAAUUCCUAGUGUUUUACAUGCC
rnacentral:rRNA from 1 species